rnacentral:rRNA from 1 species
UUUAAGGACUAAGCCAUGCAAGUGCAAGUAUGAGUGAAUUGUACAACGAAACUGCGAAUGGCUCGGUAAAACAGCUAUAAUUUCUUCGGUGCUAAAUACUACUCGGAUACCCGUAGUAAUUCUAGAGCUAAUACGUGCCUCCAUAACGACGCAAGUCGUGGUACAAAUUAGAGAUACAAGCCAACUUGUUGGUGAUUCUAGAUUUUUUUUCUGAUCGCACUCGUUGCGACGCACCGUUCAAAUUUCUGACCUAUCAACUUUGGAUGGUAAGGUAUUGGCUUACCAUGGUUGUGACGGGUAACGGACCGUGGGUGCGGGAUUCCGGAGAGGGAGCCUGAGAGACGGCUACCACAUCCAAGGAAGGCAGCAGGCGCGCAACUUACCCAAUCCGGACACCGGGAGGUAGUGACAAGAAAUAUCAAUAGAGGGCCCGAUGGGUUUUCUAAUUGGAAUGAGAACAAGGUAAACAGCUUAUCGAGGAGCCAGCAGAGGGCAAGUCUGGUGCCAGCAGCCGCGGUAAUUCCAGCUCUGUAAGCGUAUACCAAAGUUGUUGCAGUUAAAACGCUCGUAGUCGGAUUUUGGUGUCUGACUUGGGUCGUCCUCGCGGACGCUCUCAGGUUGGGCGCCUUUGUGGAUGGGAGUGUGGUGGUGCUUAAUUGGAUCGCUACACUGCCGCCACCGUUUACUGUGAAAAAAUUAGAGUGUUCAAAGCAGGCGAUUGCCCUGAAUACAUUAGCAUGGAAUAAUAGAAUAGGACCCGGUCCUAUUUUGUUGGUUUGUUUGAAUCGGGUAAUGAUUAAGAGGGACGGUUGGGGGCAUUCGUAUUCCGACGUCAGAGGUGAAAUUCUUGGAUUGUCGGAAGACGAACAGCUGCGAAAGCGUCUGCCAAGGACGUUUUCAUUGAUCAAGAACGAAAGUAAGGGGAUCGAAGACGAUCAGAUACCGUCGUAGUCUUUACUAUAAACGAUGAGGACUGGAGAUCGGAUAAGACUGAUAUAUGGCUUAUCCGGCAUCCUUCGAGAAAUCAAAUGUUUGCUUUCUGGGGGGAGUAUGGUCGCAAGGCUGAAACUNAAGGAAUUGACGAAGGGCAUCACCGGGUGUGGAG